UGCAGUCGAGCGAAUGAAGAGGAUGACUUGCUCCUCUGAUUAUAGCGGCGGACGGGUGAGUAACACGUGGGUAAUCUGCCUGUAAGACGGGGAUAACUCCGGGAAACCGGGGCUAAUACCGGAUAAUAAGAGAAGAAGCAUUUCUUCUUUUUGAAAGUCGGCAUCUCGCUGACACUUACAGAUGAGCCCGCGGCGCAUUAGCUAGUUGGUGAGGUAACGGCUCACCAAGGCGACGAUGCGUAGCCGACCUGAGAGGGUGAUCGGCCACACUGGGACUGAGACACGGCCCAGACUCCUACGGGAGGCAGCAGUAGGGAAUCUUCGGCAAUGGGCGAAAGCCUGACCGAGCAACGCCGCGUGAGCGAUGAAGGCCUUCGGGUCGUAAAGCUCUGUUGUUAGAGAAGAACAAGUACGAGAGUAACUGCUCGUACCUUGACGGUACCUAACCAGAAAGCCACGGCUAACUACGUGCCAGCAGCCGCGGUAAUACGUAGGUGGCAAGCGUUAUCCGGAAUUAUUGGGCGUAAAGCGCGCGCAGGCGGUCUCUUAAGUCUGAUGUGAAAGCCCACGGCUCAACCGUGGAGGGUCAUUGGAAACUGGGAGACUUGAGUGCAGGAGAGAAAAGUGGAAUUCCACGUGUAGCGGUGAAAUGCGUAGAGAUGUGGAGGAACACCAGUGGCGAAGGCGGCUUUUUGGCCUGUAACUGACGCUGAGGCGCGAAAGCGUGGGGAGCAAACAGGAUUAGAUACCCUGGUAGUCCACGCCGUAAACGAUGAGUGCUAGGUGUUGGGGGGUUCCACCCUCAGUGCUGAAGUUAACACAUUAAGCACUCCGCCUGGGGAGUACGACCGCAAGGUUGAAACUCAAAGGAAUUGACGGGGGCCCGCACAAGCAGUGGAGCAUGUGGUUUAAUUCGAAGCAACGCGAAGAACCUUACGCUUGACAUCCUCUGACACUCUAGAGAUAGAGCUUUCCCCUUCGGGGGACAGAGUGACAGG
rnacentral:rRNA from 1 species